GGACACUCUGGAGCAGUUUUAGCAAAGAAGUCUUUACAACGACGCAUCUGUGAAGCUCUUUUAGUGAAAUUUGCUCUUUAGGAAUUGCUCUUUUAGUCCUGAGAUUGGUGCAAUAAUUGCAUGCCAAUGUGCAUUGGCUUGUUUAGUUUACACUCAAAGUAGAUUGGUCUAUCGAAGCAAUAUCCCAAUUCGUCAGUCACCGACGUGAUGUCGAGAGUGACCGACUGAAAGGGAACAAUGAUUUUGUAUAUUUCUUAAAAUAUUGUUUUAAUAAAAAACAAAGUCUUUAAGUUUUAAUAAUACGAUAAUGAUUUUCACCUGAAUGUCAGAAAGAGAAAUACCUGCUUAAUUCAUAGGAAUGUAAGACAUUAAACAAGUGCAGUGCAUUUGAGCCCUUUGCAAAUGCAUGUGAAACGUGUUCAACAUAGAGUAGAUGAUGGUUAAAGAAAAUUAUGUAAAAUCAUGCUUUUAGUGUAUCAUUACCCAACAUUUGUUGACUUCAAAUAAGAAAAUGUGAUCUUGACUUUGACAUGUAGUAACUGGCUUUUAACCUACUUUUAGUCCUAGUUAAUUUUCACCAGAUCAGUUAAUCAGUCCCACAUAUCAUCAUGUUUUCGUUUGAAAACUCAGCCCUGUGGUAAUGCCAUUUUAUUGUGUUCAAUGAGGACCAGAAAAAGCCCUCCACAGAAUGACUGAAAGAUUGAAGUCCUGUGAAAAGCAAAAGCAAAACUCACUUCGAAGAGGCUCAUGUGAAGUUGUCUGAGGUCCAGUAGGUGCAGGUUCCCCAGGAGAGGCAGUGGUUUGGGUCCUGGAGGAUCUUCUGAAGAGCUGGAGCUGAUGGAGAAAAGAUAAACAACCAAAACCAACAGCACUGCAGCGAGUAAAGCUCCUGUGGUGGAGCUCCUAAGAUCCAUUUAUUUUUACAAUGACAUCUAAGUAAAACUGUUGUAAUAAAUAAUUUAAUGAUGAGGUGUCUAAGAAACUGAAGAUGACAAAAAUUUUCUACUUUAAAGUGUUUUUUU